UCACUCCCUCAGAACAUGCCCUUACCAUGUGACUAUUGUAUAACCUUAUUCUCCAGGCUUACUUUAAAAUUCAUAAGGUGAAUUCAUUGCCUGAACAUGUGCAUUGGCUGUAAUUCUACAGCAGAACUGGAAGUCACAAAAGCCAGAGAGCUUCUGAAAAAUCCUGUGCUGGGGACCUCAUGAAGUGAUGGAUCUGAAGGCCAGGAAACAGGACUUAGAAGUCAUAAGAAGAAGAUUGGCUUACAGAGGAAGGUAGAUGCACCACCACUUCCAAGAUUAUCAACUCCAUUCAAGAAAACAGCCCAGACUGAGACUGUAGUAGCUACAUUCCCGUUCUUUGUUGUGGAGGAGGGUCCUCUGAUUGGUCCAGCCUGCUGCAGGUUGAUUGAACUAAGUCCAAUCAACAUCAGUUGGGUGAGGAGUCAUGUUAUACUCACCUGGCUGCUUGGGGUUCUACUUAAGUUGGAUAACAACUUAUAGACAGAGGGGGCAAUCCUUGAUCCUUGGGCUUGGAAGACACCCCAAAAUUAUCCCCUACACUGGAUGAGCACUUGGCAAGAAUGUUCAUGAGAAUCAAGCAUUAGAUGUGAUUUUCAAGUAAAUGACCUUUCAGAUCUCCUUUGAUGCCAUCACUCUAACAGUAUGAUUGACAAGGAAAUAUGAAGGGGGUGCAAGAGGAGGGACAGCACUUGGAUUGUGCCUACCUUAGUGACAUUUUGAAGAUUAAUUAGAUGUUUUAGCAAGAGCUGUGAAGAUGAAAGGGGCUGGAAACAGCAUUAAGUCUUUACUACCAAUUCCUGGGAAAGUAGGUUGAGAGAUGAAUUAGUUUCAGGGCUGUAAUGCUGUAAUGACAUUCAGUGAAGAAUUGCCUUCACUGUUUUUUACAGGCCAUCUUUCACCUCAGAGAAGACUUAUAUAAGGCCCAAGAAACUGGAGUUAUGAAAGCAGAGGAAACUAGGAUUUUAGGAUUCUCAAACUGCCCUAAGAUAGGUUCACUAUACUCAUUCAAUACAUAAUCAAUCCUUUGAAAAUGGGUGUUGGGGCUGGAACAAUCCCAAAGGAUGAUCUAGUCUCCCUUCCUCAUUUUACAGAUCAGAAACUUGAAUCCUAGAGCUAGGUAAUAGCAUAACUGGUGCUAUCAUUUGGGUUUCCUAAUCCCCAUUUCAGUCACAGAAAGUGCAGAAAAUUUCUCUACGUGGUGUCAUUUGUGAUUUGUGAGAUUCUGGGACGCCGUUUUUCAGCAACUUGAAAAUAUUUUCUGCAUUGACCUAUUACUUAUGCUAGGAGACACACUAAGUCUAACUCAUAACUUUCUAUUAAGCACUACUUUCUUCUGCUGCUCCUCUUUUAAAAUGAAAGUACUACAAGGAUAGGUGGUAGGUUGAUUUAGCAGCACUCUAUUACACUUACUGGAAUAAUAAAGGAAAUGCACUCAAGAGUCAGAUAGGAGACAAUCUCAGCUCAAUCAUUCACCAGCUGUGAAACUUCUUACAAAUUAUUUCCAUCUGAGAGUGUCAGUUUUAUCAUCUGUAAAAUGGGAAAAUACAGUAUCAAUCUCAUAGAGUAUAAAGGAUUAAAUGAAAUAAUUCACAUAAAGCCUGACCUGGCUCAUAACAAGCAUUGAGUAGAUAACAUGUCAGUGGUAGCAUUCAAUAAAUAGUAGGUACUAUCAGUGUCAUCAUCAUCAUUUCUGUGUAUGAAUUUUAUUGGGAUGGUGUCUUCCCAGUGAAGGAUGGGCCUGUAGUAACAGAAAAAGGAAAUGAGAAGAAAAGUACUGCAGAAAAGAGAGACUUGGAACACCUAAGGAAAACUUCAUACUUCAUAAUUUGGCAGCCCAAGAUCUUUGAACCUACCAAAUGGCCCUGAGCCAACCGCAUCUGACUUCAGGAGCUACGCAUAACUCUUGUGGUCUGUCCAAACCCAGUUCCUCACCUUGCCAUGGAACCCAACUGACCAAAUAUGGGUUUGCAGAAGUUUCCCAAAGGAGUUCUCAACAGAAGAAGCUGUUGGAGGAGAAAAUCAUGUACCUCACUAGAAUCAAGAACAUGGAGAAAGACAAAUGCCAUAUGAUCUCACUUAUAUUUGGAAUCUAAAAUAACCCAAAACACCAAGUUCACAGAUACGGAGAUCACAUUGGUGGUUGCCAGAGGCAGGGGAUAAGAAGGCUGAGAAAACAUAAGGACGGAUGGAUCUGUGGUUUGAAGCUUAUAAUCAAGUCAGCCUUGCUGCUGGACUCAUUCUGACCCAGGACCGUGGACCAGGUGAGGAAACCGAGGCACUGAGACUUAAGUAAAUUGCCCAAGGAGAAGACAGAGACGAGGAACAGUGAGGGGGCCAGUGUGACAAGAACAUAGGAAACAAGUGGGAGAUGACGGAAGACGAAUGUGAAGAAGUAGUAAGAGACAAGGUUCUGGAGGGUGUUGCAGGCCAUUGCUUCGCUAUGGCUUGGUACAGCACUGGCACAUGAUAUUGCCUUCUGAUGUUUCAUGCUUCAGCGUUCUUUUUGCAUGUAGUAUUCAGUACAAGCCGAUGUGGUUUCUCUCAUGUGAGGCUGAAAUACAGGAAGAAUAAGAACAGAGACAGGGUCCACCAAGGAGGGAUCUUGCUGUUUAAUUGUGGCUUCUGAGUGGAUAGAGAGUUGCAGUGGUCGUUGUUUGUUGUCAGUGCUUUCCAGAUGAUGGGUAAUCAGUGCCCAUGGAAGUUCACUCUGGUGCAGUGCAAAGAAUAUAGGGGAAUUUGGAAGUUUUAAUUAGCUUCUCCUGGCUUCAGCUUCUUCAUCUGUAAAAAUGAGAUGACUCAACGUGAGUGUGCAACAGAAUCAUCUGCAGAACUUAAAACAAAAAACAACAGCUACUGGAGCCUCAUAAGUACCAAGUUGGGUAAGAUGCACGUGCAUUUCAAGAGCUCCAUAGGUGUGUCCUCCACUGAACUCGACUUUUCUACAGGUUCUCUUCCACUUGAAAAUACUAUUUUUAAUCACAUAUUUGUACAUGUUGCUUAUGAGAAAUUAAAUUGGCACAAGAUAUAUUAAACGCCGUAAGAAUUUGCCUGCCUUUUAACUUAAUGAGUUCUUUUGUAGGAAUUUCUUCCUCAGAAAUUACGUCAUGUACACAAACAUAUAUAUUCAAGAAUAUUCAUUCUUGAUUGUAAAAACAAACUGUUGAAACAAUAAAAGUGAUUAACACUAAGAUCUUAUUUAUGGAUAAAUAAUGGUAUAUCAC
rnacentral:lncRNA from 1 species